AGGUCGCUCUCUGCUGCUGUGUUUGGAGUUUGUCUGAAGUUAUCCCCUGUUGUCAUCUCAGAGCUUAUACCCUGGUGAUAGUCCCCAGGCCCAGGGAUGAAUUUCUACAUGGCUUUUCAAGUGUAAAUUUAGAAAACCCUGAUUCAGGACUACGGCAGUUGCAUAAGUAUCCUGUCUAAUUCGCCUUCAGGUGGAACAGUUAAAUGAGCUCAUCCAGAAAAAAAAAUUGUGAAGCGAAAGAGCCCAUGGUUCUUUCUGAGCUCCCAACAUAAAGCUAAACCCACAGCUUGAAGGCACCAGCUAACAGGGUUGUUUUCUUCUGUUGAAUUGCACAGGGCAUCCUGCAUUUGCAGUCACUGUCUACACCGAUUGCGGCUAUGAGGUGAAACUAUGUCUAUGCUACAAACCUGAUGUCUGUCUCUAGAGGCUGUCAUAUCUGAGUCCAGCCAGAGAGAAUGCAGAAACUCUGCUGUACCUUCUUCUUUGAUGGCAAAGUGCAAAAAGGAUGCUGCUACCUGCUCUAAAUACACUCAAUGGACCAGUGAUGCCAUCUUCCUGUCAGGCAGGUUGACCCUGCUGAUGAAACUUGAUGGUGUACUGGAGGCUGGGACACUUGCAGAAUCCUACCAGCUCCAAAACUGAUCUUCACAUUCACUCUCUAUAUCCCAAAGAUAAAGCAGGCUGCAGACAAUCUGUUGGAGAGCAGAAAGAAUGUGUGCAUUCUGCAUGAAGGGACUGUGCUGUGAUUUCUGAUUGUGCGUGAUGAAAUACCACAAUUCCUGCUCAGAUGUUCUCAUACUGGUGAUGGCUCUUAGAGCCUGAAGAAUUAGUUACCACCUUGGCCUGGUCUGAGGACAGUCACAGAAUGAAGCCAAUGAAGAAUGAAGUGACUGUCCCCACACACUGGUCAGCAGACAUCUUUAACAAAAGCCACACAAACAAAACAGUAAUCUUAGUAUUUUUUACAGGCUUCAGGAGAAAAGCCAUAGGAAAAAAACUACAGUUGAAAAUUCUUUUGAUUUGUAUGAAAAGCAAUGUAAAAUGGUGGAUGAUAUCAAAGUGCCACCUUGAUGUCCAUU